rnacentral:rRNA from 1 species
AGAGUUUGAUCAUGGCUCAGGAUGAACGCUGGCGGCGUGCCUAACACAUGCAAGUCGAGCGAUCUCUUCGGAAGAGAGCGGCGGACGGGUGAGUAACGCGUGGGUAACCUGCCUCAUACACAUGGAUAACAUACCGAAAGGUAUGCUAAUACAAGAUGAUAUAAGAGGUUCGCAUGGAUUUCUUAUCAAAGCUCCGGCGGUAUGAGAUGGACCCGCGUCUGAUUAGCUAGUUGGUAAGGUAACGGCUUACCAAGGCGACGAUCAGUAGCCGACCUGAGAGGGUGAUCGGCCACAUUGGAACUGAGACACGGUCCAAACUCCUACGGGAGGCAGCAGUGGGGAAUAUUGCACAAUGGGCGAAAGCCUGAUGCAGCAACGCCGCGUGACCGAUGAAGGCCUUCGGGUCGUAAAGCUCUGUCCUCAAGGAAGAUAAUGACGGUACUUGAGGAGGAAGCCCCGGCUAACUACGUGCCAGCAGCCGCGGUAAUACGUAGGGGGCUAGCGUUAUCCGGAUUUACUGGGCGUAAAGGGUGCGUAGGUGGUUUCUUAAGUCAGGAGUGAAAGGCUACGGCUCAACCGUAGUAAGCUCUUGAAACUGGGAAACUUGAGUGCAGGAGAGGAAAGUGGAAUUCCUAGUGUAGCGGUGAAAUGCGUAGAUAUUAGGAGGAACACCAGUAGCGAAGGCAGCUUUCUGGACUGUAACUGACACUGAGGCACGAAAGCGUGGGGAGCAAACAGGAUUAGAUACCCUGGUAGUCCACGCCGUAAACGAUGAGUACUAGGUGUCGGGGGUUACCCCCCUCGGUGCCGCAGCUAACGCAUUAAGUACUCCGCCUGGGGAGUACGCUCGCAAGAGUGAAACUCAAAGGAAUUGACGG